CAGGCCUAACACAUGCAAGUCGAGCGGAAACGAGUUAACUGACCCUUCGGGUGACGUUAACGGCGUCGAGCGGCGGACGGGUGAGUAAUGCCUGGGAAAUUGCCCUGAUGUGGGGGAUAACCAUUGGAAACGAUGGCUAAUACCGCAUAAUGCCUUCGGGCCAAAGAGGGGGACCUUCGGGCCUCUCGCGUCAGGAUAUGCCCAGGUGGGAUUAGCUAGUUGGUGAGGUAAUGGCUCACCAAGGCGACGAUCCCUAGCUGGUCUGAGAGGAUGAUCAGCCACACUGGAACUGAGACACGGUCCAGACUCCUACGGGAGGCAGCAGUGGGGAAUAUUGCACAAUGGGCGCAAGCCUGAUGCAGCCAUGCCGCGUGUGUGAAGAAGGCCUUCGGGUUGUAAAGCACUUUCAGCAGUGAGGAAGGCGGGUACGUUAAUAGCGUGCUCGUUUGACGUUAGCUGCAGAAGAAGCACCGGCUAACUCCGUGCCAGCAGCCGCGGUAAUACGGAGGGUGCGAGCGUUAAUCGGA
rnacentral:rRNA from 1 species